rnacentral:tRNA from 1 species
ACCUGAGUGGCUCAGUUGGUUAAGCAUCUGACUUCAGCUCAGGUUAUGAUCGCACGGUUCGUGAGUUCAAGCCCCGCAUCAGGUU